GAAUGGCAAGGGUGGAGAUUUCAGCUGAAGUUUUCCCUCUAUCCCAAGUUUAAAAAAGGAAAGAAAACCCAAACCACCACCAAGCUACUUUUGCAAACGUCCAGAAAAUGCUAACUACAAACUUAGCUUUUUUUUGGCAUCUACAUCUGAUGAUAUUCCUUCCGCAUACAAAACCCAGGGACGCUGCCAGGGAAUGCACACUGCUACCUUCACAUGGUGUAGUGCAGUGGCCCUCAGCAUUCCAAGCAGCAUUCAGGCAUCAUUCCCAAAUCAAUGCAUUACUGCACAUUGCUCACACUGCAAGGAGUUGCUGCAGGUGACCCCCAGGAUGUAAUAAAUGCACAAAACACAGCAAGGUGGAAUUUAUUUUGGUUUUAAUCCAACAAAUGAAGAAGGUCUUGACAAUGUAAAAUACCAUCGUACUGCCAGUGUUGUAGAAUUGUACAUAAAAACAAUUAUUGUCUGUAGAUGUAAAAAUAGCAGGUUUUUCUUUCCGUAAUACAGUAAAACACAUUAUAGGAACCAUUUAACAUUAAGUAGAAACCUCUUAAACAAUUGAGGCAUUUAACCUAAGUGUUUCUCCAAACGUAUUAAAUAAAACACAGUUGAUACUCACUCUAAACACCUUCCCUCCAUCUCCUCCGCUCUCCUCCCUAAUUAAACUGAUUAGAAAAAAUAGUAGUCUCAUUUUCUGUUUUGAAUUCCUUCACAACCGUUUAGAUUAUCCCUUUAUUUGAAGUACAGUCACACAGCCCUGCACAAUACAGUACUGUACCUUAACUAAUUCCUUUCCCAUUGCUAUGUAAUUUUGGAGUAGGUAUUUAAGAUUAAUUUGGAAGGCGAGAAGAGGCCUAAGGAAGUCUGCAGGAGGGCAAUUUAAUUUUGAAUGCCAAGUAUUUACACAAACGUUAUUCUAUUGUAAUUACAGCGUAAAACUUGCAACAAAGCUGAAAAGUGAGUGUAUUUAACAAAGGCUCCCAAUGAAAGGAAGGGAAGAAAAACAGAUUAGAAAAUAAAUAAUCUAAAGUUCUUCGUGGUAGAAACGUUCAUCGUGAAGCUGCCUGCCAUAAUCCGUGGCUUCGCUGUUAAGAAACAAAUCCUGGUUCUUAAGAACUUCUGCCUCAGAAAGCUUUUUAUCAUCAUUCAGAUCCAUCUCUUCAAUCAGGUGAAGAGCCUCCUCUUGUGCAAUACCCUGGUUAUUAGGUACUAUCCAGGACAACAGCUCUUGAGGGUUGAGUUUCCCAUCAUUAUCCUUGUCAUAGUCAUUCACAAAUCGAUCCUUCUCAACAAGUAUCCAUUCUGGAUCUUCCUUGGCAGUUGGGUCUCUUCUGUAAUCACCAAGGAAUUCUUCCAGGCUCACAAAUCCAUCACCAUCUUUAUCAUGUUCUUCUAAAGCCUCCUCAAUGACAAAGUCCGUCAUAUACUCCACUUCUUCGGGAUGUUCAAAGGCAAUAAAUUCAUCCACAUUUAGAUCAGGAUCAUCAUCCCUAUUAGCUUUUUCAAAACGCUUCUUCUCCUUUAAAUGAAGCUGCCGAAAUGAUUCUUCUUCUUGAUCCUCCAGGACAGUGUUCUCAUCAAAAUCAAUUACACGAUCGUACAUUUGUAAGUUGUACUCCUUCCAAGACACCAAUCCAUCACCAUUUUUGUCAUAGUCGUGGAAGUGCUGCUUAGCUUCUUGUGUAACGUAGUGUUUGAAUGACUGCUGUAUCCAGGAGCUCAGCUCAUCCUUGCUGAGGAGGCCGUCGUUGUCCGCGUCGAUCCUCCGCACGAUGGCCUUCAGCCGCCGCUGCUGCUCUUCCGGGCUGAGCCGCGCGUACUCCUCCGCCUCCUCCUGCCCUCCGAGCAGCGCCUCCCGGUCAUAAUCGGCGCGGUGCUGCCCGUACGCCGAGCCCAGCGCCGCCAGGACCAGGGCCAGGCCCAGCGCCAGCCGCGGCCGCCGCCGCAUCGCGCCGCCGAGGAGGGGAGCGCGCCGAGGGGCGGAGAAAGGGGCGCGGCGGGGGUCCGCAACGCCGCCUGCGCGCGGCUCGGGCCGGGAGGGCCGCGUGCUCCCCCUCGUGCCCAGCGCUCCCGUUGUGCCGUGCUGGGGGUGGCGUCCCGCCCGGGGCUCCGCUUCAGACGGCGGGGAGUUCCGAACGUCCGGGACCGAAAUGGUGCGCCGCGGUACAUCUGCGGCGUGACGGCUCCGUCAGAACGGAGCAGAGCUCUCCCGUGCGGGACGGCGAUCCCAACCGGCGCUGCGGAGCGCGGGUAGCGCUGUGAGAGCGAGCGGGGUGCGGCGGUACGGCUGUACGGCACGCCGAGUGGAAAAGGGGCUGCAAAGCGAGCGGGGCCCCGUCUGCCGCUCAUCAGAGCUGAAAACGUGCCCGGCAUUGGGCCCUCGGAGGUCCAUUUAUCACUGACAGUGGUUAACUGGGGUUUGCCUGAGGCUUUCGUUGGGUUUGACGCUUCUCCCCGGGAGAAGAGCGAGUUUCUGUCACGGCUCCCGGCGCGGAUCGUCCUGCAGCAUUCCAGGCUCUGCAGACACGACAGACGUAUUUUUCUACCCCUGCGCGCAGCGCAGCCGUUAGUGGCUGAAGGAAGAGGAGCGCUCCGUGCCCCGCUCUCCCUCUGAGGCAGCACGGCGCCGCCCGCCCGAGCUUUCCCCACAACGAACGGGGCGCCGCGCUCCGGAACGCGCCUCAGGGCUCCGCAGCGCCCCCC
rnacentral:lncRNA from 1 species